AAAGUGAGUCUCUUGCUUUUUCUCUCAUUUUCUGGGGUUCUUUUUUCUCAAAUGUAUAUGAUGCUUUUGCAAUUCUCUAAUAUCGUUUUGUUUAUAUAUAACUUUUGCUCAGGUGCGAGCCAUUUCCGUCCUAUCCAAGAACAUAUGAUCUGGUGCAUGGUGAAGGACUUCUCUCUCUUGAAUUUGGUGAGCAGCCCAGGUGUCUCAUGCGAGAUCUAUUCACUGAGAUAGAUCGUUUACUUCGUCCAGAGGGGUGGCUGAUUCUAAGAGACACUGCUGCUGUUAUCGAGUUUGCAAGAUCUCAGACAACAAUUCUGAAAUGGGAUGCACGAGUAGUAGAGAUUGAGGGCAAUAGCCACGAGAAACUCCUAAUCUGCGAGAAACCUUUCUUCAAAAGACAAGCAAGCUAAUUCUCAAGAUGGCCACAAGCCGAACAUUCUAGAUGACAAUGUUCACACACACUGAAUCUAAGUUCCACAGAAGCGGUGGAUUGAUUUUUUUCCAAACAGAAAGAAGGUAUCAGGGAGCAGAAAACAAGUAUGCUUGGGCAAAACACAACUCCUAUGGAGCCGUAAGGUACACAUAGGGACAUGUAAUUACACAAUUGAGGCACAAGCAAGUGAAAGAAGUGUAGGAUUAUGCACAAGUUUCGCUGUGAUGUCUCCUUAUAAAUGACACAACCACAUGAUAAAUUUAAUUGUUAGGAUAUUACACAAUAAGCAAAUUAUGAUCAGCUAUAGUGUAUAGAAUGCUUAGACAUAUUUUUUUGGUACCUCUCUUUUUUCCCAUUUUCUUGUGUUUACACCAACAUCCUAUCCCGGUACCUUAUCAUUGAAUUAUAUUUUCACUAUGUUGUGUUAUGCUAUUUUUCUGCCUAUCGUUUAUUCUUGA